UGUUUCAUUUUUUGUUUUUUGUUUUUAGGCCACACCUGAGGCAUGUUGAAUCGGAGCUGCAGCUGCCACCCUAUACCACAGCUGCAUCAACACCAGAUCAGGGCUGCAUCUGCAACCUAUGCAGCAACUUGUGGCACCAAGGGAUCCUUAACCCACUGAGCAAGGCCAGGGCUUGAACCUGUGUCCUCAUGGAUCCUAGUUGGGUUCAUUACUACUGAGCCAUGAUGGGAACUCCCAGGAACAAACUGUUAAAGAGUUUAGUCCUUUUCUAAGAGUCCGUGUUUUUAUUGUGAAAGCAGAGAACUGGAGACAUGUUGAGUCCCUAGGGGCUAUAGUGCCCUGAUGUAAGGUAACUCAUUCUUUGUUAAGAGUUCCUUCUACUGCCUCAGUUGGUCACCUCUGCUUGAACAUCCUUGGUCAUAAGUUGGUAACUGUUUUGAGCAAUUGCUUUCAGAGUUAGGAACAUUUUUAUUAUCAUCUUCCUAUUUCUGCCUACUGGAAUUCUCCAACAUUGGUCUCACUUUGCCCCCCCCCCCUUUUUUUCUAUUGCACUUAAAAUUUUAAACUUAGUAACAAAAUAUUGUUCAACAUACCACCUGCUCUUCUUUUAAUGUUUACAGAAUCUCUAAUAAUGUAGGAUCUGGUGAUGCUCCCAUUCCAUUCCUAAUAUGGAUAAUUUGUGUCUCCUCUCUUUAUUUCUUUUUUUUUAUUUUCAAAAGUUUAUUGAACUAUAGUUGAUUUAUAAUAUUGUGUUAAUUUCUGCUAUACCAUAGAGUGAUUCAGCUAUGCAUAUAUACAUAUCCUUUCUUUUUCAGAUUCUUUUCCCAUAUAAGUAAUCACAGAAUACUGGGUAGGGUUCCCUGUGCUAUAUAGCAGGUCCCCAUUGACCAUCCAUUCCAUAUACCAUAGUGUGCACAUACCUCUGUGCUUGGGUUUCCUUCAUUGUCCUAAACUCCCACCCAGCUGAAUACAAGGUUGAGCCCAGGUAUCUUUCCAUCCUAGUGCCCCCUGCUUUCUUAUUUUCCUCUCAUAAUUCUUAUAUAUAGCAUCUAGUACAGAAUAAGAUUAGAAAGAUGUCUGAACAUUUUUUGCACUAAAAAAGGUAUAAAAUCUAAUUUGCCAUCUAUUAAAUUUUUUUUUCAGCUGUCAGUUCAUAAUGAGUUUAUGGUCAACUAAAACCUCAACAUACCUUUAAAUAUGUUUCAGAAGAAUGAUCUAACUUUGAAAUAUAGUGCUCUUACUAUCUUUCUGCUCUAAGACUUUCAUAGUUUUCCUUGUUGCAUCAGAGGGUAAUUGAGAAGUAUUUUCUUUUCUAAAAGAAAUUAAUAUUUUUUCUCUCUGACGUUGGUUUAUAAUUUUACUGGUGUAUGGAUAAAGGCUGUACAAUAUUGAUUCUUAGGAGGUUAUUGAGUCUUUGUGGCCCUUUACAAGGUUAAUUUUUCUAAAUUUUCAAAUUUUGCUUGAAGCAUAUUCAUAGUCUCUGUGGAUGUAAAGUUUAUUCUUGGAACUUAUUAUUUUUUUAAUCUAUAAGAAAAAUACUUUGUUUUUGGCCUGAUUUAUUGGUAGUUAUUAGUUAGUAAUCUCCAAUUACAAUCAUUGAUUUAUCCAUUUUCACUUGUAGUUCUGUAUUAUAUAGUAUUUUCAGCAGUACUGUUGUAUAGAGAUAGAUUCAUGAUGAUUAUACAUAACCAAUAUAUAUAAUAUCUCUAUUUUUUCCUCACAAUAACUUUUAUUUUAAAUGAUUUUGUUUGAUCCUGGCUUUCCUUUGGUCCCCAUAUGUGUCCAGUGACUUUUUUCUGCCUGUCAGCUUUUAGACUUCAUGUGUUUUCCUGUUUAAUAUUUCUGAAUCUUAAAAAAAAAAUCCAUUAGAAGGAGUUCCCUUCAAGGCUCAGCGGUUAACGAACCUGGCUAGAAUCCAUGAGAAUGCAGGUUUGAUCCCUGGCCUUGCUCAGUGGGUUAAGGAUC
rnacentral:lncRNA from 1 species